GAUUAAAGUAACAAAGGGCACACAAGGGAUGCCUAGGUAGAAAGAGCCGAAGAAGGACGUGGUAAGCUGCGAUAAGCUUGGCGAAGUUGCAAACGAACGUGGAUGCCAAGAUCUCCGAAUGGAGCAAUCUGUAAAGAGUCAUGUCUUUACACGAAAGAGGGAACCGGGUGAACUGAAACAUCUAAGUAAUCCGAGGAAAAGAAAGUAACAACGAUACCCUAAGUAGCGGCGAGCGAACGGGGUAGAGCCUAAACCGUAUUCAUGUCAAGGAUGCAGCCGUUGUGGAUAUGGGGUAGCGGGAAAGAGAGAGAAAGAACUGCAAGCUAUUUCGCAGACGUAAGCAAAGGAACAAGAAAGAUCUGGAAAGGUCUACCGUAGAAGGUGAAAGUCCUGUAUUGGUAGUUUUCUUGCGCUGUAUCUCUUCUCCCAAGUAAUGUGGAACACGAGGAAUUCUGCAUGAAUCUGCGAGGACCAAAUCUCGUAAGGCUAAAUACUCUUUCUAACCGAUAGCGCAUAGUACCGUGAGGGAAAGGUGAAAAGAACCCCGGGAGGGGAGUGAAAGAGAACCUGAAAUUGUGUGCUUACAAGCGGUCAGAGCCACUUUGGUGGUGAUGGCGUGCCUUUUGGAGAAUGAUCCUGCGAGUUACGUUUCAUGGCGAGGUUAAGAAGAACGGAGCCGAAGGGAAACCGAGUCUGAAUAGGGCGCAAGAGUCGUGGAGCGUAGACGCGAAACCCGGUGAUCUAAGCCUGUCCAGGAUGAAGCUGUGGUAAGACACAGUGGAGGUCCUAACCCACCGCCGUUGAAAAGUUGGGGGAUGAGGUAGGUUUAGGGGUGAAAAGCCAAUCGAACCGGGAGAUAGCUCGUUCUCUCCGAAAUGCAUCUAGGUGCAGCCUUGCGUGUUUAAUGAUGGGGGUAGAGCACUGACUGAACUAGGGGGCAUAUAGCUUACUGAAUUCAAUCAAACUCCGAAUACCAUUAUUCAAGAGCGCAGGAGUGAGACCAUGGGAGUUAACUUCCAUCGUCGAAAGGGAAACAACCCAGACCACCAGCUAAGGUCCCAAAUCAUAUCUAAGUGGGAAAGGAGGUGGAGAUUCUUAAACAACUAGGAGGUUGGCUUAGAAGCAGCCAUUCCUUGAAAGAGUGCGUAAUAGCUCACUAGUCGAGAGUCUCUGCGCCGACAAUGUAACGGGGCUAAGAUAUGAACCGAAGCUGUGGAUGUCGUAAGACAUGGUAGGAGAGCGUUCUGUAGGCCGUCGAAGGAGGACUGAAAGGAACUCUGGAGGUAUCAGAAGUGAGAAUGCAGGAAUAAGUAGCGAGAAGGGGAGUGAGAAUCUCCCCCGCUGGAAGACCAAGGUUUUCAGGGUAAAGCUUGUCUUCCCUGAGUAAGCCGGGACCUAAGCCCAGGCUAGAAUGCGUAGGCGAAUGGAAAACAGAUGAAUAUUUCUGUGCCAGUUCUACUUUGUGAAGGAGGGACGCAGAAGGGUAUGCGCGCAGACGAACGGAAGAGUCUGUAGAAGCAUGUAGAGUGACUUGGUAGGCAAAUCCGCCAGGUUAGACUUGAGGUGUGACAUAUACUCGCAAGAGGAAUGCGCAAAUCCCACGCUGCCGAGAAAAGCUUCUAGCGGUAAAGUAGAGACUGCCCGUACUGGAAACCGACACAGGUGGUCAGGAUGAGAAAUCUAAAGCGGACAGGCUAACUCUCGUUAAGGAACUCUGCAAAAUGGCCCCGUAACUUCGGGAGAAGGGGUGCCU
rnacentral:rRNA from 1 species